rnacentral:rRNA from 1 species
AGAGUAUGAUCCUGGCUCAGAACGAACGCUGGCGGCAGGCUUAACACAUGCAAGUCGAACGACAUAGUGGCAGACGGGUGAGUAACGCGUGGGAACGUACCCUUCACUACGGAAUAGCUUCUGGAAACGGAAGGUAAUACCGUAUACGCCCUUCGGGGGAAAGAUUUAUCGGUGAAGGAUCGGCCCGCGUUAGAUUAGAUAGUUGGUGGGGUAAGAGCCUACCAAGUCUACGAUCUAUAGCUGGUCUGAGAGGAUGAUCAGCCACACUGGGACUGAGACACGGCCCAGACUCCUACGGGAGGCAGCAGUGGGGAAUCUUGCACAAUGGGCGAAAGCCUGAUGCAGCCAUGCCGCGUGAAUGAUGAAGGCCUUAGGGUUGUAAAAUUCUUUCGCCAGGGAUGAUAACGACAGUACCUGGUAAGAAGCCCCGGCUAACUUCGUGCCAGCAGCCGCGGUAAUACGAAGGGGGCUAGCGUUGUUCGGAAUUACUGGGCGUAAAGCGCGCGUAGGCGGGCUAUUAAGCCAGAUGUGAAAGCCCGGGGCUCAACCCCGGAAUUGCAUUUGGAACUGGUAGCCUAGAGACCAGGAGAGGUUAGCGGA